GUGACUACUCAUUGACCAGCAGCAGUUUAACUUCAACAACAGGAGCGGUGGUGAGGAACUCGUGGUGUGAGCUGUUACUAACAAUGACCAAGCCGGACUUUUCAGGGUUGGAGAUGAACUUGAAAUGAACUCCCAAAACUUACUGCAAGAUUCUGGAAGAGAAACGCUGUCUCAAGCCCCUGGCUGCUGGUUUGAUGCAGAAUGCCUCCAGUGCGAUGUCAGCCAGCGGACAGUAGAGGGCAGCACGUGCCUCUUCUUCAUCUACUGCUCCUCUUCCUCUCUAUGGGACAAAUAGACGGUUACAUCCAAAUUCCUGAUGAUUACAAAUUAAAUGAC